rnacentral:rRNA from 1 species
GAUGAACGCUAGCUACAGGCUUAACACAUGCAAGUCGAGGGACCGGCGCACGGGUGAGUAACACGUCUCCAACCUGCCCUUUACUCGGGGAUAGCCUUUCGAAAGAAAGAUUAAUACCCGAUAUAAAGGCUGGGGAUGCGUUCCAUUAGGUUGUUGGUGAGGUAACGGCUCACCAAGCCUUCGAUGGAUAGGGGUUCUGAGAGGAAGGUCCCUGACAUGGGAACUUGUCAACGGUCCAAACACGUACGGGAGGCAGCAGUGAGGGAUAUUGGUCAAUGGGCUCUAGCCUGAGCCAGCCAAGUAGCGUGUAGGAUGAAGGCUUAUGGGUCGUAAACUUCUUUUAUAUAAGAAUAGGUAUUAUAUGAAUAAGGAUCGGCUAACUCCGUGCCAGCAGCCGCGGUAAUUC